GACGAACGCUGGCGGCGUGCUUAACACAUGCAAGUCGAACGGAAAGUCCCUGCUUUUGUGGGGUGCUCGAGUUGCGAACGGGUGAGUAACACGUGAGUAACCUGCCCUUGACUUUGGGAUAACUUCAGGAAACUGGGGCUAAUACCGGAUAGGAGCUCCUGCUGCAUGGUGGGGGUUGGAAAGUUUCGGCGGUUGGGGAUGGACUCGCGGCUUAUCAGCUUGUUGGUGGGGUAGUGGCUUACCAAGGCUUUGACGGGUAGCCGGCCUGAGAGGGUGACCGGCCACAUUGGGACUGGGAUACGGCCCAGACUCCACUGGGAGGCAGCAGUGGGGAAUAUUGCACAAUGGGCGGAAGCCUGAUGCAGCAACGCCGCGUGCGGGAUGACGGCCUUCGGGUUGUAAACCGCUUUCGCCUGUGACGAAGCGUGAGUGACGGUAAUGGGUAAAGAAGCACCGGCUAACUACGUG
rnacentral:rRNA from 1 species